GAGGGGCAGCAUGAAGGAGCUUGCUUCCUUUGAUGGCGACCGGCGCACGGGUGAGUAACGCGUAUCCAACCUUCCCCUUAGUAGGGCAUAGCCGUAGAAAUGCGGAUUAAUACCCUAUGUUCUUCGUUGAGGACAUCUGAGAUGGAGCAAAGCUUUUGCGCUAAGGGAUGGGGAUGCGUCCGAUUAGGUAGUAGGCGGGGUAACGGCCCACCUAGCCGUCGAUCGGUAGGGGUUCUGAGAGGAAGGUCCCCCACACUGGAACUGAGACACGGUCCAGACUCCUACGGGAGGCAGCAGUGAGGAAUAUUGGUCAAUGGGCGUAGGCCUGAACCAGCCAAGUAGCGUGGAGGACGACGGCCCUACGGGUUGUAAACUCCUUUUAUGCGGGGAUAAAGUUCGGGACGUGUCCCGUUUUGCAGGUACCGCAUGAAUAAGGACCGGCUAAUUCCGUGCCAGCAGCCGCGGUAAUACGGAAGGUCCGGGCGUUAUCCGGAUUUAUUGGGUUUAAAGGGAGCGCAGACGGCCUGUUAAGCGUGCAGUGAAAUGUGGGUGCUCAACAUCUGCACUGCUGCGUGAACUGGCGGGCUUGAGUUGUCUGGAGGUGCGCGGAAUUCGUGGUGUAGCGGUGAAAUGCUUAGAUAUCACGAGGAACCCCGAUUGCGAAGGCAGCGCACCGUUGGCACACUGACGUUGAGGCUCGAAGGUGCGGGUAUCGAACAGGAUUAGAUACCCUGGUAGUCCGCACGGUAAACGAUGGAUGCCCGCUGUCGGCGAUACACUGCCGGCGGCCAAGCGAAAGCGUUAAGCAUCCCACCUGGGGAGUACGCCGGCAACGGUGAAACUCAAAGGAAUUGACGGGGGCCCGCACAAGCGGAGGAACAUGUGGUUUAAUUCGAUGAUACGCGAGGAACCUUACCCGGGCUUGAACUGCACAGGAAGGAUACAGAGAUGUUGACGCUUCGGGGCCUGUGCGGAGGUGCUGCAUGGUUGUCGUCAGCUCGUGCCGUGAGGUGUCGGCUUAAGUGCCAUAACGAGCGCAACCCCUGUCCUCAGUUGCCAUCGGGUCAUGCCGGGCACUCUGUGGAGACUGCCACCGCAAGGUGCGAGGAAGGUGGGGAUGACGUCAAAUCAGCACGGCCCUUACGUCCGGGGCUACACACGUGUUACAAUGGGUGGUACAGAGAGUCGGUCGUAUGCAAAUACGUUCUAAUCAUCAAAGCCAUCCUCAGUUCGGACCGGGGUCUGCAACCCGACCCCGCGAAGCUGGAUUCGCUAGUAAUCGCGCAUCAGCCAUGGCGCGGUGAAUACGUUCCCGGGCCUUGUACACACCGCCCGUCAAGCCAUGAAAGCCGGGGGCGCCUGAAGUCCGUGACCGCGAGGGUCGGCCUAGGGCGAAACUGGUGAUUGGGGCUAAGUCGUAA
rnacentral:rRNA from 1 species